UCCUACGGGGGCAGCAGUGGGGAAUAUUGGACAAUGGGGGGAACCCUGAUCCAGCGACGCCGCGUGAGUGAAGAAGUAUUUCGGUAUGUAAAGCUCUAUCAGCAGGGAAGGAAGAAAUGACGGUGCCUGACUAAGAAGCCCCGGCUAACUACGUGCCAGCAGCCGCGGUAAUACGUAGGGGGCAAGCGUUAUCCGGAAUCACUGGGUGUAAAGGGAGCGUAGACGGCUGAGCAAGCCUGAAGUGAAAGGCGGGGGCCCAACCCCCGGACUGCUUUGGGAACUGUA
rnacentral:rRNA from 1 species